rnacentral:lncRNA from 1 species
AUACCCUCAUUUAACCUGUACUAAAGCGGCUUAUGCUCUUGUACAAGUACUCCAACUCUGCCUUGUGUCCUCGGAGUGUGACCAAUAAGAACACCUACCUCAUGCCUUUACUUCAUUCUCUGUAAAAAUGGGAGUGUAGCAGGUGAGCGUCCUUCAAACCUCUGAAUGUCGAAGUACUCCUUGACUUGGGCUGGGAAUGGGAAGCUGAUGUCUACUUCCCACUCAUCCCUCCGUUGCUGUGUAGCUCUGGACCUUGGGAAAAGUGGAGGACCAAGAAGAGAAUUGGCCAUGAUCCUGUACCUUGGAGCAGACAGUCCCAAGCCUCCUCCUGCUCACCCUAGGGCAUUUUCCCCACUGCAAAGAACUUCCUUGGAUGAUCAGCUAAGACUUUGGGUUCCAAAAUGUCAGGGUAAUGAGAAACUUGCCUGAGCCUGAGGAAGAGCAGCGGAGUAGGAGUCAGGAUUCCUGCCAGGCUCUAAUGCUGGUACUACCACUGACUUGCAAAAGCUGCCUAACCUCUCUGGGCCUUAGUUCUUCAUCUGUGAAA